GACGAACGCUGGCGGCGUGCUUAACACAUGCAAGUCGAACGGAAAGGCCCUGCGCUUGUGGGGUGCUCGAUUGGCGAACGGGGGAGUAACACGUGAGUAACCUGCCCCUGACUUUGGGAGAACUUCAGGAAACUGCGGCUAAUACCGGAGAGGAGAUCCUGCUGCACGGUGGGGGUUGGAAAGAUUCGGCGUUUGUGGAUGGACUCGCGGCGUAUCAGCUAGUUGGUGAGGUAGUGGCGUACCAAGCCUAUGACGGGUAGCCGGCCUGAGCGGGUGAUCGGCCACACUGGAACGGAGACACGGUCCAGACGCCUGCGGGAGGCAGCAGUAGGGAAUCUGCCGCAAUGGGCGAAAGCCUGACGGAGCAACCCCGCGUGAGUGAUGAAGGUCUUCGGAGCGUAAAACUCUGUUAUUAGUGAAGAACAAAUGUGGAAGUAACUAUGCACUUCUUGACGGUACCGAAUCAGAAAGCCACGGCUAACUACGUG
rnacentral:rRNA from 1 species